rnacentral:rRNA from 1 species
GACGAACGCUGGCGGCGUGCUUAACACAUGCAAGUCGAACGGAAAGGCCCUGCUUUUGUGGGGUGCUCGAGUGGCGAACGGGUGAGUAACACGUGAGUAACCUGCCCUUGACUUUGGGAUAACUUCAGGAAACUGGGGCUAAUACCGGAUAGGAGCUCCUGCUGCAUGGUGGGGGUUGGAAAGUUUCGGCGGUUGGGGAUGGACUCGCGGCUUAUCAGCUUGUUGGUGGGGUAGUGGCUUACCAAGGCUUUGACGGGUAGCCGGCCUGAGAGGGUUACCGGCCACAUUGGGACUGAGAUACGGCCCAGACUCCUACGGGAGGCAAGAGUGGGGAGUAUUACACCAUGGGCCGAAGCCUGAUGCAGUAACGCAGCGUGCGGAAGAACCGCCUUCGGGUUGUAAACCGCUUUCGCCUGAGACAGAGAGUGAGUGACGGUAAUGGGUAAAGAAGCACCGGCUAACUACGUG